rnacentral:rRNA from 1 species
GACGAACGCUGGCGGCGUGCUUAACACAUGCAAGUCGAACGGAAAGGCCCUGCUUUUGUGGGGUGCUCGAGUGGCGAACGGGUGAGUAACACGUGAGUAACCUGCCCUUGACUUUGGGAUAACUUCAGGAAACUGGGGCUAAUACCGGAUAGGAGCUCCUGCUGCAUGGUGGGGGUUGGAAAGUUUCGGCGGUUGGGGAUGGACUCGCGGCUUAUCCGCUUGUUGGGGGGGUAGUGGCUUACCAAGGCUUUGACGGGUAGCCGGCCUGAGAGGGUGACCGGCCACAUUGGGACUGAGAUACGGCGCAGACUCCUACGGGAGGCAGCAGUGGGGAAUAUUGCACAAUGGGCGGAAGCCUGAUGCAGCAACGCCGCGUGCGGGAUGACGGCCUUCGGGUUGUAAACCGCUUUCGCCUGUGACGAAGCGUGAGUGACGGUAAUGGGUAAAGAAGCACCGGCUAACUACGUG